rnacentral:rRNA from 1 species
GGUUUUUGGAAUCCUGGCGAAAGCCACCCCGGCGUUUUAAAUAGGAGGAAAUCCCGGGCUCACCUGGGAACGCAUCCGAAAAUGCAGGCUAAGUUUUUAUAGGGGGGGGGAAUUCCCGGGGUGCGGUGAAAGGGUGGGGAUCUGGGAGAUAACCGGGGGGGAAGACGGCCCCUGGACAAAGAUGACGCUCAGGUGGAAAGCGUGGGGGCGAACAAGAUUAGGUACCCUGGUAGUCCUCGCCGUAAAAGAUGUUGACUAUGAGGUUGUGCCCCCGAGGCGGGGUUUUUGAGGUGACACGGUAAUUAGACCGCCCCGGGGGGACGGCCGCCACAAGGUAAAUACUCAGAUGAGUCGGGGGGCCCCCCCACCAGCGGUGCAGCAUGUGGUUUAAUUUGAUGCAACGAGAACAACUUUACCUACUCUUGACAUCCACGGAACUUGGCAGAGAUGCUUAGGUGCCUUCGGGAACCGUGAGACAGGUGCUGCAUGGCUGUCGUCAGCUCGUGUUGAGAAAUGUUGGGUUAAGUCCCGCAACGAGCGCAACCCUUAUCCUUUGUUGCCAGCGAUUCGGUCGGGAACUCAAAGGAGACUGCCAGUGAUAAACUGGAGGAAGGUGGGGAUGACGUCAAGUCAUCAUGGCCCUUACGAGUAGGGCUACACACGUGCUACAAUGGCAUAUACAAAGAGAAGCGACCUCGCGAGAGCAAGCGGACCUCAUAAAGUAUGUCGUAGUCCGGAUUGGAGUCUGCAACUCGACUCCAUGAAGUCGGAAUCGCUAGUAAUACCCCCCUAGACAAG